rnacentral:rRNA from 1 species
GACGAACGCUGGCGGCGUGCCUAAUACAUGCAAGUCGAGCGAAUCAUUAGGAGCUUGCUCCUGAUGGUUAGCGGCGGACGGGUGAGUAACACGUGGGCAACCUGCCUGUAAGACUGGGAUAACACCGGGAAACCGGUGCUAAUACCGGAUAAUUCUUUUCCUCACAUGAGGGAAAGCUGAAAGUCGGUUUCGGCUGACACUUACAGAUGGGCCCGCGGCGCAUUAGCUAGUUGGUGAGGUAACGGCUCACCAAGGCGACGAUGCGUAGCCGACCUGGGAGGGUGAUCGGCCACACUGGGACUGAGACACGGCCCAGACUCCUACGGGAGGCAGCAGUAGGGAAUCUUCCGCAAUGGACGAAAGUCUGACGGAGCAACGCCGCGUGAGUGAUGAAGGCCUUCGGGUCGUAAAACUCUGUUGUUAGGGAAGAACAAGUAUCGGAGUAACUGCCGGUACCUUGACGGUACCUAACCAGAAAGCCACGGCUAACUACGUGCCAGCCGCCGCGGUAAUAC